AUACCAUGUUGUGGACAGCUUGCACAUAACUUUUAAAUCGCUCCCAAUAAUCGUAAAUGGACUCAGCUUCUUUUUGUCUUAUUCCAAUGAUCUCUCUUCUUAGCUC
rfam:Gossypium raimondii Chr05_contig_15, whole genome shotgun sequence.